CGGGCAGCCACCACUAUACCGCACACAGAAGCAGAGAUCACAAGGAGCACGGCUGCUCUCUUUUUUUUUUGUCGCUCCUUGCGGUGCUCUGGGGUUUCACAGCCGAUGCAAAUCAGCGGUGCUUCGACGGAGCUCGCAUCGAUAGAGUCAUCGGCAGUUGCGCCCAAGCACUAUAUGGAGUACCCGGCGUCGAAGAAGUCAGCAAGCUCACAAAUUGCUAGCAACUAUCGCUCGUCAUAACGGUGACAAGAGCAUGGACGCUAAUCAUGCGCCUCUGUCAGAGGAGAGGGAUUCGAACAGGGCAGCGGCACCCGAAACCAGCAACCGCACGCAGCGCGAACAGCAGUCACAGCCACGCCUAUAUGCGCCUCUGUUCUCCCUUCUCAACCCUAUUGAAGACUCAGCCGCAGCCGCGGACGUCCGCGGCCGUGGCGACGCGCUGCGCGAGAGAAGUGACCGCGCCAGCGCCGAGACCCCGUUGUUAGGGUCCCGCGCACCGUCAAGGUCUCCACACCUGCCUGCCUCGCAGGAGGAAGGGACGCACAGAAACGCCAGCGCUUCGUGCGCGUCACGCUGCUGGGCGGCUCUGCGGUGUCUGUGCCACAACAUUCGCGUCGGCUGCGCUCGCGAAGUGCCGCCGGCUGCCAAGCCACGUCGCUUUUCGCCACUCGACCGCUCCAAGAUGACUCGCUACGAGUCUGUGGACACCUACGAGGCUGAGAGCAUGCUAUACAAGGACCACCUUGAGACUCGUAGCCAUGAGCCGCGCUGGUUCAUGUGGGUUUUUGUGGUGGUGCUCGGCGUCGCGACAAGCGCGCUGUCGGUUGGCAUGAUGACCCUACUGCACGUGCUCAACUCAGUUCGCUACGAACUUUUCGGCUUUGGCCUGCGCGGCUUCACCUUCGCAGACGCGCAGCGGUACCCCAACGUCAGUAAAGCCUCCCCGGCCCACGUGACUGGCAGUGGCGGACACGGCACGGCCUGCGCCACGUCCUCCCUUGAUGUAUGGGCGAUGCUGAGGGGCUACAGUGUGGGCCUAUACGGAAUCGCGUCGCCGCGGUGGUACUGGUCUGGCUAUCUCUUAUGGGUAGCCUUCGCUGUUUGCACCUCCGCAAUCGCCAGUGGUGUGUGUUACCUUGUUCCGCAGAGCGUCGGCUCCGGUAUUCCGGAGGUGCGCGCCUUUCUGAACGGCGUAUCAUACCCGAUGAUGCGCAGCACCCGCGUGCUCGUGGCGAAGACCGUCGCUGUCGUGUUUACUGUGGCCAGUGGGGUGUGCACGGACCACUACGGCCACCUCAUGCUCGCUGGCGCGAUGCUCGGGUCACAGCUGCUGCAGCGACGACACGGAAUUCGGUGCUACCACGUGCACUUUGUCGACUGCUUCCGAAACCCGCGCGAUCGCCGCACUGUUCUCGUCAUUGGGGCUGCUGCCGGUAUCGCCGCUGCCUUCUGUGUGUCCGUUGGCGGACUCCUUGUAAUUCUCGAACUCUUGUCGGCCGUCUUCCCGGUGCGCUUCGCUCUCUACGUCUUUGCUGCGUGUCUGCUGUCGACCUUGUCGACGCAGGUGUACUGGUCCUACUGCAUGAACUUCGAUUCGCCCUACCGGCUGCACGGGGGCCUGCUGCUGCGUGAGGUGGUGGUGUUGUUCCGCUCCCACCUCCCCUUUGGUCAGCACGCAGUCAUGAACCUGAUCGCAUUUAUCCCUGCCUUUGUCAUCGGCCUCUGCAGCGGCGCGUGCGCUGUGGGCUUUGUACGCCUGAGCUGGGUUGCGCUCUACUGCAGGCGACUUCUGGAGGUGCGGCUGCGCACCAAGGCAAUCCGGUACGUGCUCCCGAUCCUAUUCACGCUUGUGUACGUGAGCGUGCACUACUGGGUUGCCGUGGCGUUCUCGGCAGAGCCGGUGCCCGGUGAAAAGAUGCCCUCUGCCGUUGGUGAGGACAGCAACACGCAAAGGAGUGGCAGCGCUGACUCACUUGCGUCGUCGUCGUCAAGUGGCGGAGCAGACGUGGGCCCGCCGGCGGUGUGCCGCCCCGUACCGUAUACCGUUCGCAGCGGCCGAAACAUGACAACCAUCGGCUUCUAUGGCAUGAACGGCUUCCUGUGCCCGGCGGGAAGCUAUCGCGUUGUUGACGCUGUCGAUGUCUACGACGCUGCAGGACACAGUAAUGGGGUGUCGAGUGUCACGAAGACGCUGCUGCGGCGGCAGCAGACGGUGCGGGUAGUUGAUGCUUACACCUCCUUGGCCUUUUCGUACGCUGACUCGACGCUGCAGACACUGCUGAGUCAGCGAACGGAGUACUUGCUGCCGUGGCACGCCCUCCUCACGUUUACCGUGAUCUACUUUUUUGCCUCCGCCGUCUACUCCGGCCUUGCCCUGUGCGGGGAUACCAUACUGCCGUCUUUGGUGAUUGGCGCGGCGAUCGGCCGCUGCAUCGGAGCGGCGGUGCACUCGGUAGCAGUUGCGCACAGCACGGAUGCGGCCACGUGGGCAGACCCUGGUGUGUUUGCGCUCUUUGGCGCCGGCAGCUUUGUGAGUGCCACAUCGGGUCUCAGCUUCGGUAUCGGGGCUAUCCUCAUCGAGUGCACGGCUGACUUCCGUCAUCUGUUACCACUCAUGUUUGCGAUCGCCGUGGCUCGACGCGUGCUGCUGCGGUGGGCCCGGGACGUGCACACAGUGUAUCUUGAGGCCCGUGCAGUCCCGCUGCUUAAUGCGGAGUCGUACCUGGAGCGGUACAGCCUUCUGGACGCGCGGCAUGUGAUGCAUUCUCCGGUGGUCACCCUCCCCGUUGUCUGCACCCUCGAUGACGUUGCGCGCGCGCUGCACAGCACGACGCACCACGGCUUUCCCGUCGUUUCCAUCAACGACAGGACCUUCAAGGGGGUCGUCACGCGAGCGCAGCUGAAGCUACUGCUGUGGUACAUCAUCAUGACCGAUGGGCGCACAAACCACUGCACCUACGACGUCAUGCAACGCGUCGAGGACCACGUAUUCCACAGCGGCUGGGAAGGCGUCGACCCGACGCAGCUUCUGAGGCGAGAGCGGUUGCCUACUGAUCAAAUUUCGCUGUAUCCGUACGUGGACACGUCCGCCUUCACGGUGCUUGACACGGCUGCGCUGCCACGCACCUACGAGAUGUUCACAACGCUGGGUCUGCGUCACCUUGUCGUGGUCGACCGCAGUAACUGUCCCGUCGGCAUGAUUACGCGCAAGGACCUCGUCAGUGAUAAUCUUUCAGCCGUAUUGGAGUCGCAAGACGCACCGGCACCCGCCGGCGGCCGCACGCCGUCGGCGGUGCUCGCGGCGGCCUUGGCUUGCCUGCGGAAACCCUUUCAUCCGACCCCCGCCCAGGUGACGGAGGUGGCGCGGCAGUCGUCGACGCGGAACCUGGAUGGGCCAUCGCCACUGCACCGGCAUCAUUACGGCCAAGAUCGGGAACCAGAGCCGUCAACUCAUACCCCUCCUCCCCUCCAUUCCCGCGAAGCGAACUUUGCCCAAGUCGUUCGACGCGUCUCGCUCCUUCGAGUGCCCAGCCCAUUUCCUCCAUCCACCCGAAACCAGCUUUGAAGAAAAACGUUUUUUUUUCUUUUGAUGAUGCGCCCAAUCCUUGUGUUCCUCAUGCUUCUUGCACGGUCGUCGCCGUUUGUGUGUGAGUGUGUGUGUGUGGUCUGGUUCAGUGUUAUUGCGCAUGUUUACUACUGCUGCUGUUUUUUUUUUGUUUGGUUGGUUGGUUGGUUCUAAGCCUCGUCACUUCCCGGAAUUUGCGAAAGGUCGCCCUGGC
rnacentral:misc_RNA from 1 species